ACUUUUCUUGUCUCUCUUUCCUUUUCUGUGAAAUUAAAAUACAACCACCACCACCACCACCACAACACCACACCCUUACCUUGGCUGCCGGGUUGUCAUGAGGGCAUCAGACCUCAUGCAUCUGGGAGAAUUUUGAAAACCUGGAAAUGACCCGGUGUUAUGAGAUAUAGGGAGGGACAGCUAUUAGGAAUAUGUAGGUGUGCAAUAAAUGUCCAAGAACGAAGGGAUAUCACUGAAUAGCUAAAAUUAGGUUAAAAAUGAAAAGCCAAAACCCCACUGUACCCCCAGCAGAGGGGAUGUUCAAAGUCAACUCUAUUCUUGGACCAGUUUUAACCCCGUUCUGUGUUUUCCAGAAGCUGUUUCUACAAGGAAGUCUGAGGCCUUGGAAGCUUUCCUAACGCCCAGGGGCAGAAUGGGGUGCACGUCCCCCUAUCUCAGCUCCCCAAGAACUUCCGAAGCCUCAGCCUGACCAGCGUGGUGCGCCUUGGGAGGAGCAAGACCCCCCUGCCUCUGUUGGCCGGCUGAGCCACUUCGUGCAGCUUACUGUGCCUUUUCUGGUCUCAACGGCAGGGCUGAGGACACCUGUAUCGCGUGUGGGAAGCACCAGACAAGAACCCCCAGGAGCACCCUGCCACUCUUCCAGGCACAGGACCAAAGGUGUGGCUGUGUGGAUGGUCUCCUCUGAGGAUCCUCCUGCCUCCAAAAAUCCACAGGAUCCUCCUGCCUUCCUCCCUCUUAAUUAUUGAUUGGGGAAGAAAAUCGAAGAUGUGAAUAAUUGACAAGCUGGAUCUAACGGACACAUUUAGAGCUGGGUACCAAGGUCUACCUCAAUGAAAGCAUAUACAUUGUUUAAAAGUUUCAAAAUUUGCUACCUGAUUCUCAGUGAUUCUCAAAACAGGCUGCAUGUUGGAAUCACCUGGGGGUUUUGAGAGCAAGUGAUGUCAGGCACUCUGCUGUAACUGGAGAGGAGUAUGUCCUGAGCACCAGGACUCUGCAGACCCAACAAGGUGGUUCCAAUGUGUGGUCCAGGUUGAGAACCACUCACUGUUCUCACCGAGGGCAGCAUUGGCUGAUUUCAGAGGACUGUACCCGACGGGCCACCGUCUCUGACCAGAUUGUAAUCACUGGAGGAAUCAAUAACAAAAAUAUAACCAGAAAAAGUCAUAUAUUUAAAAUUUUAAAAUUAAACUUCCAAGCAAUUCAUGGGAAAAAAAUAAAUACUUAGAACUGUUGGUCA
rnacentral:lncRNA from 12 species